CGAUGGCAUUACCAGGUUUACAUGCAAGGGCCAACCAGUCUAUCACUUCAUGAAUACCAGCACAUUUACUGAGUUCACAGUGGUGGAAGAGUCUUCUGUUGCUAAGGUAGAUGACGCAGCUCCUCCUGAGAAAGUCUGUUUGAUUGGUUGUGGAUUUUCCACUGGAUUUGGGGCUGCUGUUAAGACGGGCAAGGUAACCCCAGGUUCCACCUGCACUGUCUUUGGCCUUGGAGGAGUUGGCUUAUCGGUCAUCAUGGGCUGCAUGUCAGCUGGGGCCUCCAGGAUCAUUGGGAUCAACCUCAAUAAAGCCAAGUUUGAGAAGGCCCUGGCUGUAGGAGCCACAUAGUGCAUCAGCCCCAAGGACUCUGUCAAGCCCAUCAGUGAGGUGCUGUCAGAAAUGACAGGCAACAGUGGGGGCUAUACUUUUGAAGUUAUUGGGCGUCUUGAAACCAUGGUCGAUGCCCUUGCAUCCUGCCACAUGAACUAUGGGAUCAGUGUGGUGGUGGGUGCGGCCUCCUUCAGC